UACAGAGGGUGCGAGCGUUAAUCGGAAUUACUGGGCGUAAAGCGCGCGUAGGCGGCUUUGCAAGUCGGGUGUGAAAUCCCCAGGCUUAACCUGGGAACUGCAUUCGAGACUGCAUCGCUGGAGUACGGCAGAGGGGGAUGGAAUUCCGCGUGUAGCAGUGAAAUGCGUAGAUAUGCGGAGGAACACCGAUGGCGAAGGCAAUCCCCUGGGCCUGUACUGACGCUCAUGCACGAAAACGUGGGGAGCAAACAGG
rnacentral:rRNA from 1 species